rnacentral:rRNA from 1 species
CAAUAGCGUAUAUUAAAGUUGUUGCAGUUAAAAAGCUCGUAGUUGGAUCUGUGGUGUGCGGUGGGCUCCGGGCACUUGUUGUCUGAGUAGCUCGCCGCUGCCAUCCUUGGGUGGAACCUGUGUGGCAUUAGGUUGUCGUGCAGGGGAUGCCCAUCGUUUACUGUGAAAAAAUUAGAGUGUUCAAAGCAGGCUUAUGCCGUUGAAUAUAUUAGCAUGGAAUAAUGAGAUAGGACUUUUUCGCUAUUUUGUUGGUUUGCGCGAAGAGGUAAUGAUUAAUAGGGACAGUUGGGGGUAUUCGUAUUCCAUUGUCAGAGGUGAAAUUCUUGGAUUUUUGGAAGACGAACUACUGCGAAAGCAUUUACCAAGGAUGCUUUCAUUAA